rnacentral:rRNA from 1 species
CCCAGUGUAGCGGUGAAAUGCGUAGAUAUUGGGAAGAACAUCGGUGGCGAAGGCGUGCUACUGGACCGUAACUGACACUCAGGGACGAAAGCUAGGGGAGCGAAAGGGAUUAGAUACCCCUGUAGUCCUAGCUGUAAACGAUGGAAACUAGGUGUGGCUUGUAUCGACCCGAGCCGUGCCGUAGCUAACGCGUUAAGUUUCCCGCCUGGGGAGUACGCACGCAAGUGUGAAACUCAAAGGAAUUGACGGGGGCCCGCACAAGCGGUGGAGUAUGUGGUUUAAUUCGAUGCAACGCGAAGAACCUUACCAGGGCUUGACAUGUCGCGAAUCUCGGUGAAAGCUGAGAGUGCCUUCGGGAGCGCGAACACAGGUGGUGCAUGGCUGUCGUCAGCUCGUGUCGUGAGAUGUUGGGUUAAGUCCCGCAACGAGCGCAACCCUUAUUUUUAGUUGCCAGCAUUAAGAUGGGCACUCUAGAAAGACUGCCGGUGACAAACCGGAGGAAGGUGAGGACGACGUCAAGUCAGCAUGCCCCUUACGCCCUGGGCUACACACGUACUACAAUGGUUGGGACAAAGGGCAGCGACUCCGCAAGGAAUAGCGAAUCUCAUCAAACCCAGCCUCAGUUCAGAUUGCAGGCUGCAACUCGCCUGCAUGAAGGAGGAAUCGCUAGUAAUCGCAGGUCAGCAUACUGCGGUGAAUUCGUUCCCGGGCCUUGUACACACCGCCCGUCACACCAUGGAAGCUGGUCACGCCCGAAGUAGUUACCCUAACCUUUCGAGGAGGGGGAUUCCUAAGGCAGGGCUAGUGACUGGGGUGAAGUCGUAACAAGGUAGCC